GUUCCUGCAUUUGGCACAUCCUCUGCCCCGCCGUAGUCCCGGGCUCUAUGCCAGGGCCAGGGGAAAUACUUUCAAGUGAAAAGACAUUACCCCUGCCCUCAACGAGCUCAUCUUCCAGAAAGAUUUGUGAUCCCAGCAACCUCACUUAAAUACAAGACGUUACAAGAGAAGCACUAACAAAAUGCCCGGAGGAAGGCAGACCCUGAGUGGUGAGGACACUCAAGCUCAGAAAGGUUGAACGACUUGCCUGACAUCAGUCAUCUAGUAACUGGAAGAGUCAGAAUUUGCACUCUGACCCGAUUCCAAAGCCGGCAUUCUUUGCUGCUGAACUCUCCCAGGUGCAAGGAAUUGGGGGACGGUGCCGCAAGGCUCGAGACACACAGCCCGUGCCUUUAAGGAACUUUCCACCUGGUGGAGGAGCAGAAACACACACACAUAGCAGCACAUGUGAUGGUAACGGGACCUGUGCCCAUCCCAGGCAUUAGGCACUGCAGAGUACCUGACCCAGGCCUGCUGAGGAGAGAAAUGCUGCUGAGAGCUUGUGGAAGGCGAGGCUGGGGGUUGAACAGAACAGAAGCUGUAUCCUCCCAACCCCUAUCUCUGUGAGACAAGGAAGGAAGGGCCUAUCGUUCCCAUUUCGCAGGUGAGAAAGGGGAGGAAAGGACAGAUGGCU